rnacentral:tRNA from 1 species
UCUAAGGAUGAUUAAGGAUUAUUUCUUAAUCUAAAUAAUUUAACAGGUUAAUGUUGACCGUCCUCAUUUCUCUUUUUAAAAUUGUGUUUCUCCUUUUUGCAUAAAAGGGCCGGUAGCUCAGUUGGUUAGAGCACACCCUUGAUAAGGGUGGGGUCGAAAGUUCGAGUCUUUCUCGGCCCACCAUAAACUGGGGGAUUAGCUCAGCUGGGAGAGCGCCUGAUUUGCAUUCAGGAGGUCAGCGGUUCGAUCCCGCUAUCCUCCACCAAGAAACACAUAGCUAUUUUUUUUGUGAAUAUUUUAUAAUUAUUAUCAAUAUCUAUAUCCGAUUGUUCAAUGAUAUGAACAAUCAAUUAAUAUUCGAAUAGAUGAAUAUUAAAUAAAAAUUUGAUUCAACACAGAAUUUUUUUCUGUGCAUAAAU